CAUUGGUGGAUUAACUAUAAACAAUUAAACAAAUAUAAACAAUAUAGCUGAUUCUACAGUGGCUUGACUUGAGAGAGAGGCAGCAGAAUCAGAAACUCAGAAUUAAAUGUCACACACGUGUUUUCGCAAUCACAAUUCAGAAAAAUACCAAUAAUUAGAGAGGUUAGUGGUUUCAUAGUGUUCUCUCUCUAUUCUGAAUACCUUCUACGAUCGAAGGUAUGUAUAUAUACUUAUCUAUCGACAUAGUUAUAUAAUAUAACCCAGCAAGAGAGAGUGAGACCUCGAUUCUUAUUCAGAAACACAACAAAACUCAGUCUACGCUGUCUCAAUUUUUAGAGCCCACUCUCUCGGUUCUUGACAACCAUGGACGUUGAUCCUCGUCACUACGACCUCGUUGGUAUCAACGAAAAUGACAUCCACAAUGUUGUUCUAUCAUAUCUUGUCCAUAAUUGCUUUAAUGAAACCAUGGAGUCAUUCAUUGCUUGCACUGGGAUGAAGCAGCCUGAUGAUCAUCUUGAGGGCAUGGAGAAAAGAAAAAGAAUUUUUAAUUUUGCCCUGGAUGGAAAUGCACUUAAGGCCAUUGAGCUGACAAAUCAGCUGGCACAUGACUUGCUGGAGAAGAAUGAGGAAUUGUAUUUUGAUCUAUUGAGCAUUCAUUUUGGUGAACUUGUCCGCUCUAGAAAAUGCUCAGAAGCUUUGGAAUUUGCUCAGGCUAAGUUGACUCAUUUUGGGAAAGUGCAGAAAUAUGUUGAAAAACUUGAGGACUUUAUGGCCCUUCUUGCAUAUGAAGAGCCAGAUAAGUCCCCAAUGUUUCAUCUUCUUGGCUUGGAGUAUCGGCAGAAAAUUGCUGAAAGUUUGAAUCGGGCAAUUCUUGAACACAUGAAUCUGCCCAGCUACACAGCAAUGGAAAGGCUGAUACAACAGACAACAGUAGUUAGACAGUGCUUGAGUCAAGAGCCUGGCAAGGAUACACAUGCACCAUUUUCCUUAAAGGAUUUUCUUGAAAGCUAAAUGCAUCAAGUGUUUGAAGCUUUGCUGGCCAAUGGGUGAUCAAGGUGUAUUCAGAUAUAGCUUUCGUUGCCUCAUAUGGGUUUGAUAUAAGGGAGGCAUGCCCAAUUGCCCAUACUCUUUAAGUUGCCGUAGUGAAAACCAUGAAUGCUUGCAAAUUAGAGCAACUGAGUUGAUCCAUGUGUGUGGCUUGUACAUACUGCCUUGCUUAUACAAACAUUAGAUAUUGGGAUUUAUUCACGUCAGGCUUUGAGUUGAUGUACCCUAUUAAUCUUAGUUCUACUGUUUAAUGCAAAGUUGCAAUUUGCUAUGCCUAGUGAACAUACUGUGAUGAAGCAGAGUUGGGAGUCUGACCUUGAAGCAGAUUCUUGAGCAUUUUUUAGGGUGAUUUUCUCUUGAUGUUUUAGUAUGUCUUGGAUUAAAUUGAUAUUUGUUGCAAUAUAUUGAUUACUUCAAACGUGUGAUA